GAGGAGGUCGGCCAGCCGGCUGGGCCUGCGGUCUUUGGCUGUUCCUUCUCUGCACUCUUCCCUCCGCUCCUGUUGUGCGGGAACUGGAGAAUCGUUAGGACCUGGGGGAAGCAGAGAAAUGGAUCAGAGAACAGGAGGGCUGGGAAGAGACCUGGUUUCUCAAACCUGACUGAGCAUCUGAAUCACCUGAGAAGCUAUUAAAAUGCAGAUUCCCCGACCCCACCCCCUCAGAGUCAGAGUCUGUGCGUUUAGGGUGCGGCCUUUCUCAGAGGGAUCGACUGAGACUUACCGAAUCCUAGAAGUCUUUACCUGAGGCAGUUCUUGCAGUGUACUGUAUAUUUCAUGACAUUCCAGGUAAAAGAUGACACGACCGAGACCGUUGAGUGGCAGAAAUAUGAACUGACUUGUUUAAGGCUCCACAGGUGGUAGACGGCAGAGCCAAGACCUGAGCCAAUUAUCUUUUCCCCUGCACUGUGCGGGGUAAUACAGCUCGUUUAAAACAAGCUGGUGUCUCCGUUCCGUUUUCCGCGUUGCUUCUCACAAUUCACCGUUAGAAUCCAGAAGUAAGAGAACCCAGGGAAGCGUAAGGAAGAUGAAUAGGACAAAGAUUCUAAGAAGGUGGGAAGGAAGAAGGCUGCAGUCUAUUUCAGGUCUGGUGAAUUUCGAUCACUGUAGCCUUUAUUGUUAUUUUGGAGCCACUUAGAUCAAAAGACAAGGAGCUUAAAUUGCUGAAAAGGUAGUGUGAAGGACCAUGUGCCACGUUGGGCCUGCCUGAAUAACUGCCAGACCCUACAGGAAUAACCUGCUGGGGGAAUCUCUACCUUUGGAGAGCCAGGAGGCCACCAUGACAACACUGAGUUCAGUAGACUCCUAGGAGAGCUGUGAUCCAAUUGCCAGGAAGCCAGGAUCAGAAAGUUCUUGCCAGCACUGCUGCCAUUGCCUCCUACUCUCACAAAGAUCAAGACCGCACGCUAGAGUGAUGCUGUGGAAAAACCAUCUCCAUGACCUUGCUGGGCAGCAGCAGCAGGAAGAUGGCCUCCUCUUCACAUUUGUCCUCCUGAUAUUCUACCAGUACAUCUAAUUAGAAUUGGAACUCUAGUUGAGGGAGUCUGGGAAAUGAAGACUAGCUUUCCAUCUUUUGCUGUGUGCCAGUUGACCAUAUCUAAUAUCACUGUCUUCUUUCUUAGAGUAACCACUUCACUCCUACCUUUUCGCCUUCCUAAAGAACCACUGUGAGACCACUCUUCUCCUGUCACUCCCCUACCUCACCAUGUAUGCUUCCACACCUACAUUGUUUUCUUUUUUCUUUUCUUUUCUUUUUUUUUUUUUUGCUUCUCCUUCCCACCUGGCCUAUCCUUCAAUGGUCAGGUUAACAUGUUACCCCCACAAUGGAAGCUUCUCUGACUUACUUCUUCAGCAAACUCAAUUGACCCUUUUUCUGGGCUCCUACAACAUUUUGUAAAAAGUCACUGCUAUAGUACAUAUAAUUAACAUCAUAAGUUGUUGUUUUUCUUUCUGCCAGACUGUGAGCCUUUGAAGGGCAGGUACUAUGUUUUAGUUUUCUGUUCUCAAUGUCUAGUCCAGGGUCUGGCUCAGAGUGAAUAA
ensembl:lncRNA